UACAGAGGGUGCAAGCGUUGUUCGGAAUUACUGGGCGUAAAGCGCGUGUAGGCGGCACGUUAAGUCGGAUGUGAAAUCCCUCGGCUCAACCGAGGACGUGCAUCUGAUACUGGCGUGCUUGAGUGUCGGAGGGGGUGGCGGAAUUCCCGGUGUAGAGGUGAAAUUCGUAGAUAUCGGGAGGAACACCUGUGGCGAAGGCGGCCACCUGGACGACAACUGACGCUGAGACGCGAAAGCGUGGGGAGCAAACAGG
rnacentral:rRNA from 1 species